UACGUAGGGGGCAAGCGUUGUCCGGAUUCAUUGGGCGUAAAGAGCGUGUAGGCGGCCAGGUAGGUCGGUUGUGAAAACUGGAGGCUCAACCUUCAGACGUCGACCGAAACCAUCUGGCUAGAGUCCGGGAGAGGAGAGUGGAGUUCCUGGUGUAGCGGUGAAAUGCGCAGAUAUCAGGAAGAACACCCGUGGCGAAAGCGGCUCUCUGGAACGGUACUGACGCUGAGACGCGAAAGCGUGGGGAGCGAACAGG
rnacentral:rRNA from 1 species